UUUCAUUCUGGUUCCUAUCGCCUA
rnacentral:siRNA from 1 species